rnacentral:rRNA from 1 species
CAGCCGCCGCGGUAAUACAGAGGGUGCAAGCGUUAAUCGGAAUUACUGGGCGUAAAGCGCGCGUAGGUGGUUUGUUAAGUUGGAUGUGAAAGCCCCGGGCUCAACCUGGGAACUGCAUCCAAAACUGGCAAGCUAGAGUACGGUAGAGGGUGGUGGAAUUUCCUGUGUAGCGGUGAAAUGCGUAGAUAUAGGAAGGAACACCAGUGGCGAAGGCGACCACCUGGACUGAUACUGACACUGAGGUGCGAAAGCGUGGGGAGCAAACAGGAUUAGAGACCCCCGUAGUCCCUGUCUCUUAUAU